UAAAAAGUAAGCUAAGAUAAGCUAUUGGGUUCAUACCCCAAAAAUGGUUUACCCUUUUUAA
rnacentral:tRNA from 1 species